ACGUACGCUGGCGGCACGCCUAACACAUGCAAGUCGAACGAAGUAGCAAUACUUAGUGGCAGACGGGUGAGUAACAUGUAGGUAUCUGCCCUUUGGCCUGGAAUAACACGAGGAAACUUGUGCUAAUACCGGAUAAGUCUUUACAGAGAAAGCUUUAUGCACCAUUGGAUGAGCCUGCACUUGAUUAGUUUGUUGGUGGGGUAAUGGCCUACCAAGACUGUGAUCAAUAGCUGAUUUGAGAGGAUGAUCAGCCACAUUGGGACUGAGACACGGCCCAAACUCCUACGGGAGGCAGCAGUGGGGAAUCUUGCACAAUGGAGGAAACUCUGAUGCAGCGAUGCCGCGUGAGUGAAGAAGGCCCUUGGGUUGUAAAGCUCUUUCGUCGGGGAAGAAAAUGACUGUACCCGAAUAAGAAGGUCCGGCUAACUUCGUGCCAGCAGCCGCGGUAAUACGAAGGGACCUAGCGUAGUUCGGAAUUACUGGGCUUAAAGAGUUCGUAGGUGGUUGAAAAAGUUAGUGGUGAAAUCCCAGAGCUUAACUCUGGAACUGCCAUUAAAACUUUUUAGCUAGAGUAUGAUAGAGGAAAGCAGAAUUUCUAGUGUAGAGGUGAAAUUCGUAGAUAUUAGAAAGAAUACCAAUUGCGAAGGCAGCUUUCUGGAUCAUUACUGACACUGAGGAACGAAAGCAUGGGUAGCGAAGAGGAUUAGAUACCCUCGUAGUCCAUGCCGUAAACGAUGUGUGUUAGACGUUGGAAAUUUAUUUUCAGUGUCGCAGGGAAACCGAUAAACACACCGCCUGGGGAGUACGACCGCAAGGUUAAAACUCAAAUGAAUUGACGGGGACCCGCACAAGUAGUGGAGCAUGUGGUUUAAUUCGAAGAUACGCGCAGAACCUUACCAACACUUGACAUGUUCGUCGCGACUCUAAGAGAUUAGAGUUUUCGGUUCGGCCGGACGAAACACAGGUGCUGCAUGGCUGUCGUCAGCUCGUGUCGUGAGAUGUUGGGUUAAGUCCCGCAACGAGCGCAACCCUCACUUUUAGUUGCCAUCAUUAAGUUGGGCACUCUGAAAGAACUGCCAGUGAUAAGCUGGAGGAAGGUGGGGAUGACGUCAAGUCCUCAUGGCCCUUACGUGUUGGGCUACACACGUGCUACAAUGGUAUCUACAACAGGAAGCAAGACUGCGAAGUUAAGCAAAUCCCUAAAAGAUACCUCAGUUCGGAUUGCACUCUGCAACUCGAGUGCAUGAAGCUGGAAUUACUAGUAAUCGUGGAUCAGCGUGCCACGGUGAAUGCGUUCCCGGGUCUUGUACUCACCGCC
rnacentral:rRNA from 1 species